rnacentral:misc_RNA from 1 species
CAGAGUUGCAAAACUCCCACAAACCAUCGCGAAUCUUACCCGUACGGUUGCCUCGGCGCUGGCGGUCCGGAAGGCCCUCGGGCCCCCGGAUCCUCGGGUCUCCCGCUCGCGGGAGGCUGCCCGCCGGAGUGCCGAUAACUAACUCUUGAUAUCUUAUGUCUCUCUGAGUACACUUUUAAAUAAGUCA